rnacentral:rRNA from 1 species
CGUCAAGUCAUCAUGGCCCUUACGCCCAGGGCUGCACACGUGCUACAAUGGUCGGUACAGAGGGCGGCGACGUCGUGAGGCGGAGCGAAUCCUCAAAGCCGAUCUCAGUUCGGAUCGGAGUCUGCAACUCGACUCCGUGAAGUCGGAAUCGCUAGUAAUCGCGUAUCAGCUACGACGCGGUGAAUACGUUCCCGGGCCUU